UACGGGGGGGGCAAGCGUUGUUCGGAAUUACUGGGCGUAAAGGGCUCGUAGGCGGCCAACUAAGUCAGACGUGAAAUCCCUCGGCUUAACCGGGGAACUGCGUCUGAUACUGGAUGGCUUGAGUUUGGGAGAGGGAUGCGAAAUUCCAGGUGUAGCGGUGAAAUGCGUAGAUAUCUGGAGGAACACCGGUGGCGAAGGCGGCAUCCUGGACCAACACUGACGCUGAGUGAGCGAAAGCCAGGGGAGCAAACGGG
rnacentral:rRNA from 1 species